rnacentral:rRNA from 1 species
CCUACGUGAGGCAGCAGUGGGGAAUAUUGGGCACUGGGCGCAAGCCUGACCCAGCAACGCCGCGUGAAGGAAGAAGGCUUUCGGGUUGUAAACUUCUUUUCUCAGGGACGAAGCAAGUGACGGUACCUGAGGAAUAAGCCACGGCUAACUACGUGCCAGCAGCCGCGGUAAUACGUAGGUGGCAAGCGUUAUCCGGAUUUACUGGGUGUAAAGGGCGUGUAGGCGGGAAAGCAAGUCAGAUGUGAAAACCAUGGGCUCAACCUGUGGCCUGCAUUUGAAACUGUUUUUCUUGAGUACUGGAGAGGCAGACGGAAUUCCUAGUGUAGCGGUGAAAUGCGUAGAUAUUAGGAGGAACACCAGUGGCGAAGGCGGUCUGCUGGACAGCAACUGACGCUGAGGCGCGAAAGCGUGGGGAGCAAACAGGAUUAGAUACCCCAGUAGUC